rnacentral:misc_RNA from 1 species
UCCGGUUUGACACCGGCAGUCUCGCUAGAGUCCUCAGCAUUACCUGUUAGCAACUAACGACAGGGGUUUCGCUCGUUGAGGGACUUAACCCGACACUUCACAGCACGAGCUGACGACAGCCAUGCAGCACCUGUGCACGUUCCGCCCUUGCGGGUGUGGCUUCCCUUUCAGGAAGUUGAUACGUGCAUGUCAAGCCUAGGAUAAGGUUCUUCGCGUUGCUUCGAAUUGAGCCACAUGCUCCACCGCUUGUGUGAGCCCCCGUCAAUUCCUUUGAGUUUUAGCCUUGCGACCGUACUCCCCAGGCGGCGCACUAAACACUUUUGCUUCGGCCAGGAGGGCGUCAAGCCUCCCCGACCUAGUGCGCAUCGUUUACGGCGUGGACUAC